rnacentral:rRNA from 1 species
GACGAAGGAUGCAAGCGUUAUCCGGAUUCAUUGGGUUUAAAGGGAGCGUAGGUGGCCUUAUAAGUCAGUGGUGAAAUCCUGUUGCUUAACAGCAGAAUUGCCAUUGAUACUGUAGGGCUUGAGUGUGGUAGAGGCAAUCGGAAUUCCAGGUGUAGCGGUGAAAUGCGUAGAUAUCUGGAAGAACACCGGUGGCGCAAGCGGAUUGCUGGGCCAUAACUGACACUGAGGAACGAAAGCUAGGGGAGCGAAUGGG